UUUCGUGCUUUAGGCUAGUCACUAGACUAUAUAAGUUAGCUAAGUCGUGAGUCUUGGAUAUAGAGACUAUAUAUAUUUUUUCAAUGUAAUAGUUUGCUUGCUUACCAAUAAAGCUCUGUUCUCCUUCAAUGUUUUUCCCCUUUCUUCUUCUUUGAUUUUAACAGGUUGCAUCUGUCUGUCUCCCCCUUUUGCCUUUUAUUCCCUUGCC
rnacentral:lncRNA from 1 species